CUGACUGGUUAUUCGUUUAAAGCAAGAGGAAACGAUGGGACACCAAAAUGAGUUGAUAAGACAGAAUGUUUUGGACGCUGGCAGAUCGGAAGAGCGUUGU